rnacentral:rRNA from 1 species
CCUACGGGGGCUGCAGUGGGGAAUAUUGGACAAUGGGCGAAAGCCUGAUCCAGCCAUGCCGCGUGUGUGAAGAAGGCCUUCGGGUUGUAAAGCACUUUCAGUGGGGAAGAAAGCCUUGGGGCUAAUACCCUCGAGGAAGGACAUCACCCACAGAAGAAGCACCGGCUAACUCCGUGCCAGCAGCCGCGGUAAUACGGAGGGUGCGAGCGUUAAUCGGAAUUACUGGGCGUAAAGCGCGCGUAGGCGGUCUGAUAAGCCGGUUGUGAAAGCCCCGGGCUCAACCUGGGAACGGCAUCCGGAACUGUCAGGCUAGAGUGCAGGAGAGGAAGGUAGAAUUCCCGGUGUAGCGGUGAAAUGCGUAGAGAUCGGGAGGAAUACCAGUGGCGAAGGCGGCCUUCUGGACUGACACUGACGCUGAGGUGCGAAAGCGUGGGUAGCAAACAGGAUUAGAUACCUGGUAGUC